rnacentral:tRNA from 1 species
CAGAAAAUAGUUUAUUUAAAAUAUUAAUUUUGGAGAUUAAAGAUAGAAGUUUUUCUUUUUCUGA